rnacentral:hammerhead_ribozyme from 1 species
AUCCAGCUGACGAGUCCCAUAUAAGACGAAAUGUGAGUCCUCGAU